rnacentral:rRNA from 1 species
AGUGAACGCUGGUGGUAGGCCUAACACAUGCAAGUCGAACGGCAGCACAGUAAGAGCUUGCUCUUACGGGUGGCGAGUGGCGGACGGGUGAGGAAUACAUCGGAAUCUACUUUUUCGUGGGGGAUAACGUAGGGAAACUUACGCUAAUACCGCAUACGACCUACGGGUGAAAGCAGGGGAUCUUCGGACCUUGCGCGAUUGAAUGAGCCGAUGUCGGAUUAGCUAGUUGGCGGGGUAAAGGCCCACCAAGGCGACGAUCCGUAGCUGGUCUGAGAGGAUGAUCAGCCACACUGGAACUGAGACACGGCCCAGACUCCUACGGGAGGCAGCAGUGGGGAAUAUUGGACAAUGGGCGCAAGCCUGAUCCAGCCAUACCGCGUGGGUGAAGAAGGCCUUCGGGUUGUAAAGCCCUUUUGUUGGGAAAGAAAAGCAGCAGGUUAAUACCCCGCUGUUCUGACGGUACCCAAAGAAUAAGCACCGGCUAACUUCGUG